CCACACUCCGUAUCUAGCUAAUCUGGUAGGGACGUGGAGAACCUUUGUGUCUGGCUCAGGGAUUGUAAACACACCAAUCAGCGCCCUAUCAAAACAGACCACUGGGCUCUACCAAUCAGCAGGAUGUGGGUGAGGCCGGAUAAGAGAAUAAAAGCAGGCUGCCCCAGCUAGCAGUGGCAACCUGCUCGGGUCCCCUGCCACACUAUGGAAGCUUUGUUCUUUUGCUCUUUGCAAUAAAUCUUGCUACUGCUUACUCUUUGGGUCCACACUGCCUUCAUGAGCUGUAACACUCACCGGGAAGGUCUGCAACUUCACUCCUGAGCCAGCGAGACCACGAGCCCACUGGAAGGAACAAACUCCCGCACGCCGCCUUUAAGAACUGUAACACUCACAGAGAGGGCCCGCGGCUUCAUUCCCGAAGUCAGUGAGACCAAGAACCAACCAAUUCCGGGCACGUUUCUUUUUCUGCAUCCGCUGCUCUGUUAAGUGAUCACCACAUUCAUUGUUCUCGUUUCUAUUAUUUCUGAAAAAAAUCUUCAGGAUUCUGCUUGUGGGAGUGGAUGACAUUUUUACAGUGUUUACAGACACAAAAUGAACAAGAUGUCUGUGGCAACCCUCAGACCAUUGACGCCUUCUCUCCUAUGUAUCAAAUCACACAUUUGGACGUUGACUGAACCCUCACAUGUCAGAUGCUCAAUAUUGAGGUAUAGUAAAAGGGAGCAUGAACUUGAGAAAAUACGCUUUCAACACAAAGCUGUAAUAAUAUAAGGUCAAAUAAGAUUCUGCAUUGGAGAUAGAAAACUCUGAAGGAAGCUUUAUCUAUUCCAGAAUGUCAUAUAGCUGGUAUAAGAAAGAACACUAAUCAUUCCUAAGGAAGAAAAUUAACAACGCCGUGAGUUAUAAUAUCUGGCUGAAACUGAAGGAGCUCUGUGUAAUUAAAAGUCCUUUCUGCCCUGCCUGGCCAUGGUUCUGUAUGCAUUGAUGUCUUACAAACUGAAAAAAAAAAAAGUUAUUUUCUCAUCUCCAUUCCCUAGCAUAGACAUAUUACAUGAUGUGGAAUUGAAACAAGAAAAUUGCAUUUUAAUCUUCCACUCAGAACAUAGAAGAAUGAAACAAACAAACAAAAAAUACUCUGUUGUCUUAGUCUACCACAAGCAAAAUCUGGCAGUCUCUUUGCUUUGGUAAUGGCAUAAAUUCCUUGAUUAGCCUAUAGGAUAGCCCAUUGUUCUGCUCUUUUAGUGGAAUAGCUAGCAAUUGCUUUGUCAUUUUUUCCCCAUGGUUCCUACCAUUAGUGUUGGGAGGUUUCUUCUUUGUUUUUUUGAGAAAGAGGAAAAAGUUGUUAUAUUUUCAUAAAAACUUAAAUUUCAUCCAAAAUACUUGAUUUUCAUGAAGAAAGUAAAUAUCUCUGCCCCUAGUAUACAUGUGUGGAAACUUUCAGAACCCUGAAGAUAAAUACAUUUCAAACAAGUGAGUUUGAAAAUAUCAAUAGCAAAAUAGGAAGUAAGCUAAUUAGAGAGGUAAGAACUAGAUGGCUUAGCAUUCCAAUAAUAAUAUAUAACCUUCUUUAAGAGUAAAAUCUUGGUCAAAAGACAGAUGAAAACUCCAAUAAAAUUUCACAACUCAUGGAAAAGUCUAUCUUCGUAAUUCUUUAUGAAGCAAACUAUAUAUAUAUAAAACAUAUAUAUAUAUAUAUUUGAGACAGAGUUUCGCUCUUGUUGCCCAGGCUGGAGUGCAGUGGUGCGAUCUUGGCUCAUGGCAGCCUCUGUCUCCCGGGUUCAAGUGAUUCUCCUGACACAGCCUUGUAAGUGGUUGGGAUUACAGGUGUGUGCUAUCAUGCCCGGCUAAUUCUGUAUUUUGAGUAGAGACGGGGGUUUCUCCACGUUGGUCAGGGUGGUCUCGAACUCCCGACCUCAGGUGAUACCCUCGCCUCGACCUCUCAGAAUGCUGGGAUUAGAGGCUUGAGCCACCACGCCUAGCUGCAAACAUAUUUCUUAUAUUUUCCAACAUCACAAAAUUUUACUGAGCUAUGAUAUGUACUAAAAGCUGAUAAAGAUGGUGUUGUUAUAUUUAACAGUACUCUGAAUUUUGUUGCCAUUUCUAAAAUUGUAUUCAGAGGAAAUUAUGCCCAUGUUUCUAUAGAGAGAAUUUUAAAAAAUACAUGAGCAUAGAAAUUUGAGCAACAUUGAUUAAGGUUCCAUAAAAUUGAAGCAGGAAAUAGUAUAGAAUAUACUUUUGCUCACUCUAUUAAAAUAAGUCUCUCAUAAGUAUGCUUCAGUUAAGUUCGAAGGGUAGGAAAAUUAACCUGGAACGGGGCAUUCAGAUAUAAGUAAGUUUAUUUUGGAGAAAUUUCUAUGUCAGCUGAGAUUAUUUUCUAUAAAAACAGAAGAAAGAUGAAUAUCACUAAUGAUAGCACAAACCACUAAUUAGAAGGCAGUAUGUAGAAUUUUUCUGGAAAAAUAAAACUAUAAAUGACAAAUUAAUUUUAGCAGAAAUUGUAAGAAAAUGCAAUGAGGGUAAUAGGAAUGUUAUCUUUGAAUACAAUGGACAGCAAAUUGUAAACUGAAUGUAUUCACUAACACAAAAGAGAAAAUUACUUUUAAUGAUUGCCUAUUGUUUCUCUCUACAUAAAGUUUGAGUUUCAUGUCUGAUGACCUUAUGGCUUUUUAAAUAGACACUUCAUGUGACAUCAUUAAAUUACUUUAUACAGUAUUACUACAUUUCUAUGGUAAAAUUUAAGCAAGAGAUUAAUUUUGAAAGACUUUCAGAGAAAGACUUGUAAAUACAGACAUGAGACAUAAAUCUGAUGUGGGCC
rnacentral:lncRNA from 10 species